rnacentral:ncRNA from 19 species
AUGCAGUCCAUAGCCGACGGUGCCCUGUCCUCGGACAGGGCGAAGAGGGAAUACCGGGCGCCGGGUUAAGGGAUGGUCCCUUAGGCCGGUGAAGCCGGAGCUGCCCCCGCAACUGUGAGCGGACAGCCUGCACCGAAAACCACUGGGUCUCGACCUGGGAAGGUGGUGCCGGCCAUGACCCGCGAGCCAGGAAACCUGCCGUCGCCUGCGAUUUCGCC